GCGCCCAUAGCUCAACUGGACAGAGCGACUGACUUCGGAUCAGUAGGUUGUGGGUUCGACUCCUGCUGGGCGCG
rnacentral:tRNA from 1 species